AAUCCAUAGGUUAAUGAGGCGAACCGGGGGAACUGAAACAUCUAAGUACCCCGAGGAAAAGAAAUCAACCGAGAUUCCCCCAGUAGCGGCGAGCGAACGGGGAGGAGCCCAGAGCCUGAAUCAGCAUGUGUGUUAGUGGAAGCGUCUGGAAAGGCGCGCGAUACAGGGUGACAGCCCCGUACACAAAAGCGCAUGUGCUGUGAGCUCGAUGAGUAGGGCGGGACACGUGGUAUCCUGUCUGAAUAUGGGGGGACCAUCCUCCAAGGCUAAAUACUCCUGACUGACCGAUAGUGAACCAGUACCGUGAGGGAAAGGCGAAAAGAACCCCGGCGAGGGGAGUGAAAAAGAACCUGAAACCGUGUACGUACAAGCAGUGGGAGCACCCUUCGGGGUGUGACUGCGUACCUUUUGUAUAAUGGGUCAGCGACUUAUAUUCUGUAGCAAGGUUAACCGUAUAGGGGAGCCGCAGGGAAACCG
rnacentral:rRNA from 1 species